rnacentral:rRNA from 1 species
CCUACGGGUGGCAGCAGUGGGGAAUAUUGCGCAAUGGGCGAAAGCCUGCCGCAGCGACGCCGCGUGAGGGAUGAAGGUCUUCGGAUCGUGAACCUCUGUCAGCAGGGAAGAACGGUCACUGUGCUAAUCAGCAGUUAAUUGACGGUACCUGCAAAGGAAGCACCGGCUAACUCCGUGCCAGCAGCCGCGGUAAUACGGAGGGUGCGAGCGUUAAUCGGAAUUACGUGGCGGAACCCGCUCGUAGGCGGUAUGUCAAGUCAAGGGUGAAAUCCCCGCGCUCAACGUGGGAACUGCCUUUGAAACUGGCAAACUGGAGUGUGUGAGAGGAUAGUGGAAUUCCAGGUGUAGGAGUGAAAUCCGUAGAUAUCUGGAGGAACAUCAGUGGCGAAGGCGACUAUCUGGCACAUAACUGACGCUGAGGAGCGAAAGCGUGGGUAGCAAACAGGAUUAGAUACCCGUGUAGUC